UACGAAGGACCCGAGCGUUAUCCGGAUUUAUUGGGUUUAAAGGGUUCGUAGGUGGCCUGCUAAGUCAGACGUGAAAUCCCUCAGCUUAACUGGGGAACUGCGUCUGAUACUGGAAGGCUUGAGUGCAGGAGAGGAACGCGGAAUUCCAGGUGUAGCGGUGAAAUGCGUAGAUAUCUGGAGGAACACCGGUGGCGAAGGCGGCAUCCUGGACCGGCAUUGACGCUGAGGAGCGAAAGCCAGGGGAGCAAACGGG
rnacentral:rRNA from 1 species